rnacentral:pre_miRNA from 1 species
CCCACACCCAUGUGUAUAGAACCCCAAAGGAUCACCAUUAAAUUUGGCACAGAUCUCUAAAAAAGUUAUCACAUGGAUGUAAGACUUACUUUUUUAAAGAUCUGUGCCAAGUUUAAUGGUGAUCCUUUGAGGUUCUAGAUACAUGGAUGUGGA